GACGGAAACCUUCGGGCGGAAGACUUUAUUUCGAGUGGCGGACGGGUGAGUAACGCGUGGGUAACCUGCCUCAUACAGGGGGAUAACAGUUGGAAACGACUGUUAAUACCGCAUAAGACCACAGCACCGCAUGGUGCGGGGGUAAAAACUCCGGUGGUAUGAGAUGGACCCGCGUUCGAUUAGCCAGUUGGCGGGGUAACGGCCCACCAAAGCGACGAUCGAUAGCCGAUCUGAGAGGAUGACCGGCCACAUUGGGACUGAGACACGGCCCAAACUCCUACGGGAGGCAGCAGUGGGGAAUAUUGCACGAUGGGGGAAACCCUGAUGCAGCGACGCCGCGUGAGUGAAGAAGUAUUUCGGUAUGUAAAGCUCUAUCAGCAGGGAAGAAAAUGACUGUACCUGA
rnacentral:rRNA from 1 species